GACGAACGCUGGCGGCGUGCCUAAUACAUGCAAGUCGAACGGUCUUUUCUAUGGAAGCUUGCUUCCACUGAGAAGAUAGUGGCGGACGGGUGAGUAACACGUGGGUAACCUGCCCAUAAGAGGGGGAUAACAUCCGGAAACGGGUGCUAAUACCGCAUAGUUUUCUUGAUCGCAUGAUUGAGAAAGGAAAGACGGCCUUUGUGCUGUCGCUUAUGGAUGGACCCGCGGCGUAUUAGUUAGUUGGUGAGGUAAUGGCUCACCAAGACGAUGAUACGUAGCCGACCUGAGAGGGUGAUCGGCCACAUUGGGACUGAGACACGGCCCAAACUCCUACGGGAGGCAGCAGUAGGGAAUCUUCCGCAAUGGACGAAAGUCUGACGGAGCAACGCCGCGUGAGUGAAGAAGGUUUUCGGAUCGUAAAACUCUGU
rnacentral:rRNA from 1 species